GUUACAUGUCCAUCCUUGACAUUCCUCCAUCUAGCUCCUAUAUCUGAUCCCAUCCGGUGCAUAGAGCAAUCGUAAGUCCUUAAGUCAUUAAAUAAAGUUUUAGUAGCUGCAUCGGGGAAUAGAUCAAUCGGAAGUAGGUUAAAGUAGUUAGCAGGAGAAAGAGUCGGCUUCUAAUUAGUUACUGGGGAAUCAAUGCAUAGAGCAAUCGUAAGUCCUUAAGUCAUUAAAUAAAGUUUUAGUAGCUGCAUCGGGGAAUAGAUCAAUCGGAAGUAGGUUAAAGUAGUUAGCAGGAGAAAGAGUCGGCUUCUAAUUAGUUACUGUUGAAUCAAAGUCGGUAGUAUUUGAAUACACAGUAUUGAAAUACACGGCCUCAUGUUAAGAUAGGAUAGGACUUAUUCACAGUUGUUUAAAUUACGUAUGUAGAGAUUAAAAUCCUGAACUGGGUUACUAAUCUUGAGAGUGUAAUUUGUGCUACUAAGAUUUAGACUUCAAUUUGUCUAAUCAAUUCCUCAGUUUUCGGAGGAAACUCAUUCUAUUUAGUUGAUACCAAACAGGCCGGAAGAAUGGCCAGGUAACUCCACUAACAAUACUUAGGCUAACACUGGGAAAAACAACUAAGAAUAUACCGUUCGUGCCCUAGAUGAUCUAGAUGAUAUAGAAGAAAGACUUUGAUUGGGUGCAUCUUCUUAUACGUCCUGAGUUAAAUUGCAUUACUAAACCUGGGUAAGCCAUUCCUAAACCAAGAUUUUCACCGGUAACAGAUCCUCGGUAUGUUAAGGAAGAAGCUAGUAUUGAGGAGUAAGUUGAGCAGUAAUCAUAUCCGUAUCCCUUUGAUUCCAUUCCAACGGAGAAAAAACUACCGUAACUAAAAAGAUUGGCGAAAGCCUGGGAAUCUGAAAGCUUUUUAAUCUAUUUCAAGACUCAGGGCUUACAAGGCCGGAAAGAGAUGGAGAGGAUUGGGUGCAUCUUCUUAUACGUCCUGAGUUAAAUUGCAUUACUAAACCUGGGUAAGCCAUUACUAAACCAAGACUUUCACCGGUAACAGAUCCUCGAUAUGUUAAGGAAGAAGCUCGUAUUGAGGAGUAAAUUGAGCAGUAAUCAUAUCCGUAUCCCUUUGAUUCCAUUCCAACGGAGAAAAAACUACCGUAACUAAAAGGAUUAGCGAAAGCCUGGGAAUCUGCAAGCUUUUUAAUCAAUUUCAAGACUCAGGGCUUACAAGGCCAGAAAGAGAUGGAGAGAACUCUAAGUCACUCAAAACAUCUAUUCGUUUUUGGGGGCCUCCUACCAUGGAAUCUCUUCCCCCGCCUAUAAUGGAUACAACCAGGACUUAGAAUACACUAAUAUGGGGGUCUAACUCAGGCAGAAAGCAUCCACUCUUCAAUUCUUCCUUAAAGAAAAAGGCAAGUAAGCCAUAAGCUCACUAUCUAGCUUCUUAGGCUUAACUACUUUAUCCGCUAGAGGAAGAUAAGCUGCUUUGGCCAAAAAAACCUAACGGGCUAGCAAGUAAAGAAAGGAUACAACAGGUAGUUAGGAAAUCUUCGCAAUUUCAAUAUCCCUUCCUCAUCCUGUAAGUCUGACUGCGGAAAGCAAGCGUAACUCCAAACCUCAAAUAAGCCUCGGGCGAAACAUAAGACUAGAGCAUUACGAGCUAGCUUCCUAUAACUCUUUCUAAAUCCCGGGAAGAAUGUAUCCGCUUGGUAGGCAUAAGUGGUGUAAAGUGGCGCAAAACAAAAGAUUUUAGAAUGUCACAUUUUGUUUGUAUUCAGCCUUUGACCUAAUCUUUAUACUCGCCCCAUUUCUUGGACUCCUUA
rnacentral:lncRNA from 1 species